rnacentral:lncRNA from 1 species
GAUCUUACUUUGCUGAACAUUAUUGCUGUUUACAGUUUAUCUCUAACUAUAAUAAUAUUCAAGAUAAUAACCAAAAACAGCAAAAUUUCUUCAAAAUUACCAAUUCAGGGGCAGCAACCCAACAACCGAUUGACCGAUUCAUCUGAAAAUUUCAGGGCAGAUAUUUCUUGACCUGAUAAACAUUUUUAUUCCCCGUCAGAUUUCCUCAAAAUGCUUUGGUUUUUGAGUUAUAAGCCAAAAACUGCAUUUUACCCCUAUGUUCUAUUUUUAGCGGUGGCGGCCAUCUUGGUUGGUUGACCAGGUCACGCCACACAUUUUUUAAACUAGAUACCCCAAAGAUGAUUGUGGCCAAGUUUGGAUUAAUUUGGCCAAGUAGUUUCAGAGGAGAAGAUUUUUGUAAAAGAUUACUUUAAUUUACGAAAAAUGGUUAAAAAUUGACUAUAAAGGCAAUAACUCCUAAACGGGUCAACUGACCAUUUUGGUCAUGUUGACUUAUUUGUAGAUCUUACUUUGCUGAACAUUAUUGCUGUUUUACAGUUUAUCUCUAUCUAUAAUAAUAUUCAAGAUAAUAACCAAAAACAGCAAAAUUUCCUCAAAAUUACCAAUUCAGGGGCAGCAACCCAACAACCGAUUGACCGAUUCAUCUGAAAAUUUUAGGGCAGAUAGAUCUUGACCUGAUAAACAUUUUUAUCCCAUGUCAGAUUUCCUCAAAAUGCUUUGGUUUUUGAGUUAUAAGCCAAAAACUGCAUUUUACCCCUUUGUUCUAUUUUUAGCCGUGGCGGCCAUCUUGGUUGGUUGACCAGGUCACGCCACACAUUUUUUUAACUAGAUACCCCAAAGAUGAUUGUGGCCAAGUUUGGAUUAAUUUGGCCAAGUAGUUUCAGAGGAGAAGAUUUUUGUAAAAGAUUACUUUAAUUAAUGAAAAAUGGUUAAAAAUUGACUAUAAAGGGCAAUAACUCCUAAACGGGUCAACUGACCAUUUUGGUCAUGUUGACUUAUUUGUAGAUCUUACUUUGCUGAACAUUAUUGCUGUUUACAGUUUAUCUUUAACUAUAAUAAUAUUCAAGAUAAUAACCAAAAACAGCAAAAUUUCUUCAAAAUUACCAAUUCAGGGGCAGCAACCCAACAACCGAUUGACCGAUUCAUCUGAAAAUUUCAGGGCAGAUAGAUCUUGACCUGAUAAACAUUUUUACCCCAUGUCAGAUUUGCUCUAAAUGCUUUGGUUUUUGAGUUAUAAGCCAAAAACUGCAUUUUACCCCUAUGUUCUAUUUUUAGCCGUGGCGGCCAUCUUGGUUGGUUGACCGGGUCACGCCACACAUUUUUUAAACUAGAUACCCCAAUGAUGAUUGUGGCCAAGUUUGGUUUGAUUUGGCCCAGUAGUUUCAGAGGAGAAGAUUUUUGUAAAAGUUAACGACGACGGACGACGGACGACGACGGACGACGGACGCCAAGUGAUGAGAAAAGCUCACUUGGCCCUUCGGGCCAGGUGAGCUAAAAAUGUUAUU